rnacentral:rRNA from 1 species
ACGUAGGAGACGAGCGUUAUCCGGAUUUACUGGGCGUAAAGAGCGUGUAGGAGGCAAUACAAGUUGGAUGUAAAAGCUCUCGGCUAAACUGAGAGAGGACGUUCAAGACUGUAGAGCUAGAGGAAGGCAGAGGUAGAUGGAACUCCGGGAGUAGUGGUGAAAUGCGUAGAUAUCCGGAAGAACACCAGAGGCGAAAGCGAUCUACUGGGCCUUAACAGACACUGAGACGCGAAAGCCAGGGUAGCAAACGG